UACGUAGGGUGCGAGCGUUUAAUCGGAAUUACUGGGCGUAAAGCGUGCGCAGGCGGUUUGUAAGACCGAUGUGAAAUCCCCGGGCUUAACCUGGGAACUGCAUUGGUGACUGCAUCGCUCGAGUAUGGCAGAGGGGGGUAGAAUUCCACGUGUAGCAGUGAAAUGCGUAGAGAUGUGGAGGAAUACCGAUGGGCGAAGGCAGCCCCCCUGGGUCAAUACUGACGCUCAUGCACGAAAAGCGUGGGGGAGCAAACAGG
rnacentral:rRNA from 1 species